AUUGAACGCUGGCGGCAGGCCUAACACAUGCAAGUCGAACGAGCGGCGGACGGGUGAGUAAUGUCUGGGAAACUGCCUGAUGGAGGGGGAUAACUACUGGAAACGGUAGCUAAUACCGCAUACCAUCAGAUGUGCCCAGAUGGGAUUAGCUAGUAGGUGGGGUAAUGGCUCACCUAGGCUACGAUCCCUAGCUGGUCUGAGAGGAUGACCAGCCACAUGGGAACUGAGACACGGUCCAGACUCCUACGGGAGGCAGCAGUGGGUAAUGUUGCACACUGGGCGCAAGCGUGAUGCAGCCAUGCCGCGUGUAUGAAGAAGGCCUUCGGGUUGUAAAGUACUUUCAGCGGGGAGGCGUUACCCGCACAGGAAGCACCGGCUAACUCCGUGCCAGCAGCCGCGGUAAUUC
rnacentral:rRNA from 1 species